ACACCUCAACCCUCAUGGUUUGCCAUGAUGGGCUUGGACUUUGGAGGUUUUGCGGGCUUACGGCCAGCUCCUCUCAAAAAAUUAGCUUACCAGUGUAUGGUGGCAUCACGGGUGUGAUAAUUAUCUGCGCUCAUGGUUGUCUGCCAGGUAACCUUCAACCUUGGAGGUUUGCUGGGGCUUACAAAUGUCUCUCCUCAGUGAAGACAUCUUUCUGAAC
rnacentral:misc_RNA from 1 species